rnacentral:rRNA from 1 species
UCCAGUGGCGAUAACACGUUGAAUGCACCAGUUCCCAAAAGGAUCACUGAAGUUGAGCAACGUUGCGCGUGGUUAGUAUCCGGACGGGUGACCAUCUGGGCGCAAUUGCCCAGA